GCACAUCUUCCUGCUGCUCCUCCUACUAGGGCUUAUUUGCUAUUUAUCUUAUCUUCUUGACCUUUUGGUGCUGGAGUAUCCCAGAGUGGUCUGUAUUGGCAGAGCCGGUAUGGAGCCAGCCAGCAAAGAUCAAAUCUUGAGUCUGGAUCCAGUAUCACAAGCAGGGAAAAAAGGAAUGGGUUUGGAACUGAAAGUAAGCCAGGAUACAGGUUCAGAAUCGUUUUCAACACAGUAUUCAUGCAGUCAUACCAAUUUACCGGAGCUGGCAUAUUCCUAAGACUGACAAUAGAGGACUGAUGUUAAUCAUAUGAAGAUAUAAUAUUGAAACAAAACAACUGGAGUGAACAUGGAAGAGAAUAAAG